rnacentral:lncRNA from 1 species
UCAAAUCAUUUAAAAUCAUACAGAUCUAGGAUUUGAAAUCAAACAUUAGGGUUUCAUAAGAAACCCAAGUAUAGAGAAAAGAACCUGUCAAAAUCUUAAAGAUCGUAACAAGCACAACAUGAUUUUGCUUGGAAUCAUACUGAAGUAGCCAAAAACAAACCAGAUGGAAAAUCCUAGAUGCAAGUUAGCAUGGCCCAUGUCCUUGAAUUCCUUAGAGAAGGUGAGCAUGGCAAUUGAGGAGCCAUUAGAGGCUUAGGGGUUGAAGGGUGGUCACUGGAGAAGAUCGGAGAAAUGAGGCAGCGGUUGAAGGAACUAGGGUUAGGUUGAGGGGUUGAGAGAGGAGAAGAGAUGAGAGAAUGUAGAGG